CAUAAACGUGAUUUUAUUUCAUUUGGUUCUCGUACAAUGUCUAGUGUUGUUUGAUGUUCCUGAUUUGAUAUUUAUUUUUGCCAUAAUAUUCAAACAAUUGUCAUGAAAACGCACUACUAUUAACCAAGCUCCGCGUCUAAUAGUUUUUUGUAACCAAUAGUUGCUUACAGGCAUAAAUUAAUUUCCCCUCAAUAUCCUACCUUCC